rnacentral:rRNA from 1 species
GCCUGACCUCCACUUCUAACACUGUGCACUUGAUGGCGAGGUAAUGGAACUUUCGAGUGAAACUACCUUGCGGCUUCAUUUUAAACAUUAGUCAAAGUAUGUCAUGAAAUAAAAAACAAAAAAAAACUUUCAACAACGGAUCUCUUGGCUCUCGCAUCGAUGAAGAACGCAGCGAAAUGUGAUAAGUAAUGUGAAUUGCAGAAUUCAGUGAAUCAUCGAAUCUUUGAACGCACCUUGCGCUCCCUGGUAUUCCGGGGAGCAUGCCUGUUUGAGUGUCAUGAACUCUUCAACCCACCAGUUUCUAGUAGACUGCGUUGGUGUUUGGAUUUUGAGCGUUGCUAGUCUGACUAGCUCGUUCGUAAUAUACUAGCAUCUCUAAUUCGAAUUCGGAUUGACUCAGUGUAAUAGACUAUUCGCUGAGGACACUUUUAUUAGUGGCCGUACUAGAACCAGUAGAAGCUUCCAACUAUUGUAGUCAACUUUAAUUUAGACCUCAGAUCAGGCAGGAUUACCCGCUGAACUUAAGCAUAUCAAUAAGCGGAGGAAAAGAAACUAACAAGGAUUCCCCUAGUAACGGCGAGUGAAGCGGGAAGAGCUCAAAUUUGUAAUCUGGCACUUUCAGUGUCCGAGUUGUAAUCUCGAGAAGUGUUUUCCGCGCCGGACCGCAUACAAGUCUGUUGGAAUACAGCGUCAUAGUGGUGAGAACCCCGUAACUGAUGCGGAUGCCCGGUGCUUUGUGAUACACUUUCGAAGAGUCGAGUUGUUUGGGAAUGCAGCUCANAUUGGGUGGUAAAUUCCAUCU